rnacentral:sRNA from 1 species
UGAUGUGAAUAUUUUGAGCCUAAGGAUU